ACCUUUAGUUAAAACGUCAAUCAGAGGAAACAAACAUUUACAUUUCAAGAUGGCGUUCAGGGGAAGAUGGGAAUAAAGAUGUCUGGACAUACAAUUGGCAGUGUUUGAUGUUACGGCAGUUUCAUAGAUUAAUCCUGUCUGGACUGUGCCUACCUGAAGCCUACCUGGAAUGUGGCUGAGGACCCUGGGCAUGCCUACCCAUAGCCCCUCCCCACACUCCCUAGCAUGCUUAACAGGAGGCCGGGGAGAAAAGCACAAAACCAAGAGGCUGAGAACAAGGUAAAACAAGGUAAGGAUAAUAUAUAAAAAAUGAACUUCUGUGGGAGUUUACACACACACACACAUCUAAAUAUACAUAACACAUCCAAACAUACAAAACACCACUCUAAAUAUAGCAGAUAAAACACAUCUAGGACUACACACUAACCAAUCAAACAAGGGUUAGGGUUGUAUCAACCAUUAUCAUAAUACUUACACCUAUGCAAAAAUCUCCAUAAGUGCAAAGGGGGUAGUUCUAACAUAUCCAUCCUCACACAAUUUGCUACUUAACAGGAGAGAGAAAGGCGAGAACAUUUAGGGGAGAGGAGUGGUGAGUCAAAAGAGGGGAGGGAAGAGAAAAAGGAAGAGAAUAGGGGUGGAUAGGGUACGACUUUAUAUUAGGAGAGUGAGGGUUCCACUCUUUUAAAGACUUCCAGUUAUUUGUCAUUUUUAAAGGGGGGGGGGGG
rnacentral:lncRNA from 13 species